rnacentral:rRNA from 1 species
GACGAACGCUGGCGGCGUGCUUAACACAUGCAAGUCGAACGAAGUGGCGAACGGGUGCGUAACGCGUAAUCAACCUGCCCUUCAGCGGGGGAACACAGUUGGAAACGACUGCUAAUACCGCAUAAUGACGGAGGGGAUUGCGUCUGAUUAGCUAGUUGGAGGGGUAACGGCCCACAAAGGCGAGGAUCAGUAGCCCGUUGUGUAGUGUGAGCGGCCGUAUGGGGACUAAGACACAGCCCAGAGUCCUACGGGAGGCAGCAGUUGGGAAUCUUCCGCAAUGGACGAAAGGCUGACGGAGCAACGCCGCGUGAGUGAGGAUGGCUUGCGGGUUGUAGAGCUCUGUUAAUCGGGACGCGGUACCGGAAUAGAAAGCCACGGCUAACUACGUGCCAGCAGCCGCGGUAAUAC